rnacentral:rRNA from 1 species
UACGUAGGGGGCGAGCGUUGUCCGGAAUCAUUGGGCGUAAAGAGCUCGUAGGCGGUUCAGCAAGUCGGCUGUGAAAUUCCGAGGCUCAACCUCGGAACUGCAGUCGAUACUGCUGUGACUCGAGUCCGGUAGAGGAGAAUGGAAUUCCCGGUGUAGCGGUGAAAUGCGCAGAUAUCGGGAGGAACACCAGUAGCGAAGGCGGCUCACUGGCUCGGUACUGACGCUGAGGCGCGAAAGCGUGGGGAGCAAACAGG